rnacentral:sRNA from 1 species
GGUGACACAGUGACAGAGUUAGGAGGGAGUGACUAGUGACAGAGGGAUGGGGUGACUAGUGACAGUCACCCCCUCCCUCACUCUGUCACUAGUCACUCACUCUGUCACCUGUCACUCCCUCACUCUGUCACUAGAGUGAGGGGGUGACUAGUGACAGAGUGAGGGAAGGGGUGACUAGUGGCAGAGUGAGGGAAGGGGUGACUAGUGGCACAGUGAGGGAAGGAAGGGGUGACUAGUGACAGAGUGAGGGAGGUGGUGACUGUCACUAGUCACCACCUCCCUCACUGUCACUACUCCCUCCCUCCUUCUGUCACUAGUCACUUCCUCCCUCACUCUGUCACAUGUCAUCCCCUCCCUCACUCUGUCACCAGUCAUCCCCUUCCCUCACUCUGUCACCCCCUCACUCUGUCACUAGUCACCCCCUCACUCUAGUGACAGAGUGAGGG